ACCAGUGUGGCAUAGUGGUUUGAGUGUUGGACUACAACUCUGGAGACCAGGGUUUGAUUCCCCGCUCAGCCA